rnacentral:sRNA from 2 species
UCAUAUGUCAUUGGGGAGUAGCCGCUCUUCACCUCGAAGAGGCUUACGUCAACACACUUGACCCGCAGGUCAUGGCGUAAGCAGUUCCCGCACCUGGCAAGACCUUUGACCACAACGCCUCCGACUUGGCCGGGGAUGCGUGGUGGUCAAUCGUUUGCACCCGGCCAGGGAACU